ensembl:snoRNA
CAACAGUGAUGAGCACUUUAUCCCGAAGCUGAUCAUUAGUGAUGAGCAUUAAUCACGGAUCUGACUCCUGAGUU